rnacentral:rRNA from 1 species
CCUAAUACAUGCAAGUCGAGCGAUGAGGCUCCUUCGGGAGUACAUCAGCGGCGAACGGGUGAGUAACACGUAGGUGACUUGCCCCGAAGAUGGGGAUACCUCGUGGAGACGGGGGCUAAUACCCAAUGUGCUCGGUGAUUCGGUUGAUCGAGUAAAGCUCCGGCGCUUCGGGAGAGGCCUGCGGCCCAUCAGCUAGUUGGUAGGGUAACGGCCUACCAAGGCAGAGACGGGUAGGGGGCGUGAGAGCGCGGACCCCCACACUGGCACUGCGACACGGGCCAGACUCCUACGGGAGGCAGCAGUAAGGAAUAUUGCGCAAUGGACGAAAGUCAGACGCAGCGACGCCGCGUGGGCGAUGAAGGCCUUCGGGUUGUAAAGCCCUUUUAUGGGGGAAGAGAAAAAGGACGGUACCCCAUGAAUAAGUCCCGGCUAACUACGUGCCAGCAGCCGCGGUAAAACGUAGGGGACAAGCGUUAUCCGGAUUCACUGGGCGUAAAGAGCGUUGAGGCGGUUCCGUAAGUUGGGCGUGAAAGCUCCGGGCUUAACCCGGAGAUGUCGUUCAAUACUGCGGGGCUUGAGGACAGCAGAGGAAGGUGGAAUUCCCGGUGUAGUGGUGAAAUGCGUAGAUAUCGGGAGGAACACCCGUGGCGAAGGCGGCCUUCUGGGCUGUUCCUGACGCUGAAGGCGAAAGCUAGGGGAGCGAACGGGAUUAGAUACCCCGGUAGUCCUAGCUGUAAACGAUGGAUGCUGGGUGUGGGGGGUGUAAAUUCCCUCUGUGCCGAAGCAAACGCGUUAAGCAUCCCGCCUGGGGACUACGGCCGCAAGGCUAAAACUCAAACGAAUUGACGGGGGCCCGCACAAGCAGCGGAGCGUGUGGUUUAAUUCGAUGCUACACGAAGAACCUUACCUGGGUUUGACAUGCACGUGGUAGGGAACCGAAAGGGGACCGACCUUCGGGAGCGUGCACAGGUGCUGCAUGGCUGUCGUCAGCUCGUGCCGUGAGGUGUCGGGUUAAGUCCCGUAACGAGCGCAACCAUUGCCCUUAGUUACAAGUGUCUAAGGGGACUGCCCGGGACAACUGGGAGCAAGGUGGGGAUGACGUCAAGUCAGCAUG